AAAACCUGGAUUACUUAAUCAGUUUCUGGAAAUUUAAUAGCUGCUAUUUUUCCAUUAAGCUGUUUCUGGUUAUGUGCUACUAUGAACACCCCUGUCAAACAGAAUGGUGUUUGGACCAAUAUACAUGUAGUUGCACAAUUAAUUGCUCCAAGUGCAACAAAACAGCCCCAGGAUAUAUUGUCAGUUCUGAAGAUAACACUGUAUCUCCUCUGAAGGGGGAAUUUACAACGCGUACCUCACCGUUAUAAGGAUGAUUGUAUGCCGAUAAAGAAACAGUCUUUUGAAUGAGCUACCAGAAUACCAUUGCAAAGCUUGUUGUAACUCUAAAAAAAAUCUGUACUGAUUGUACAUCUCUGCCUGUGAUGUACUAUCCUAUACUAGAACCUCUCUGGAAAAUAGUUAAAUAAUCCCCUUAUCCUGGAAAAAGUCCUAUGCUUUGAAAUGAAGCUUUCCCAGAAUUUUCCUUUUGCCCUUCGUAGCUUUCAGACGGUGCCCCAUCAGAAACAACCUUACUGGAAGUUGGUGAGUACUGAGCAGAAUCAGACUCUGUGUGAGUCCUGCAUAAUAAUUGCCCUCUACAGCAGAACUACCACGAUCUAUGGAUCCUACUCAUUCUCAUCCCAGAAUGUGACCUACUUGCUCAAGAUACCGAGUGUCCUCAUGGAAGUUACUGGGAUGAACCCGAACAGCUACAAGGCAUUAGAGAGGCUCUCACAAGCUGAAGGACAGAAAUAGCCAGUCAGCAGCUAGAGAAUAUUGUCACAAAGCAAUCCAAGUGGACUGAUAGAGUGCUUCCAAAACACAAGCCCAGAGCUUAAUUUUUUUAACUGAAAUGGACACUUAAAAACUGUGGUUUCAACAGAAACAGAAAUUUGGUACUUAAUUUUGUCAUUAUUCUUCCUGUCAGCCCUUUGGUUUCCCACAGGCAAUAAUUAACAGCUGUUCUUUAAGUUCCAUGAUGAUUAAAGCCCUUCCUCACUUCUAAGUGCUAAUUACCCUUUUCUCUAAAAACAUCUAGCAUUUUAAUGUAAUCGGGGUAUUUUAAUUCUUAUGAGACUUACAAAGGUCCACAUACUUUUAACAACUUAGAUCUAUUGAUCUGAUUAAAAAAAAAAAUAGAUAUAUUUUCUAUUGCUUUCUAUGUCCUUGCCUUCUAUGUCUGGAAUCCAUUUUCAGGGCAGAGUAGAAGGAGUUUCUGGUGGAAGUUAAGAAAAAGAUAUGUAUUCUCUGACUCAACAGGGCUCUUUGUUUUCAAGCAAUAGAAAUAAAGAGGAUCUCUUUUGAGUUUCCUUUAAUUAUAAGCCUGAGGGUAGAGGGAAAGGAGGAGUGAUUUUUGUUUCUCAAUAUGAUGUUUGUGAUUUAGUUCUGCCUGGAGGAGUUGCUGUUUUGUUGCUAAAUUAUAAUUGCACCUUUCCUGUGGCUAUGGAGGAGAUUUGGCUAUGUUACACUUCUGAUUUGUGGUUGUCCUCCUUUUUCUGUGGGAGCGCUCUAAAAAGGUAAAUGGAAGUUAUAUCUGUGACUUAAAUGUGCUACUUUCUCUCCUUCACAAUCGUAAGGAUUUCCUUUUGGUAUGAACCAGAGCUGAAUGUCAAGUCAGUUCUUGCAGUCUGGCUUUUUCAUUCUAGAGAAAACAUGAUACAUUUGAAAUGUAUUUGAAAUAUCAUUUUCUCAUUAGAUCGUUAGGUUAUGCAAGGUGGAGGAUGGCAGUUACCCUUAAAGCUAUUUAUUACUGUGGUUGUGAAUCUAAUGAGGGAAGAUGGGAUUCAAGAAGGGACAUGAUAAAAGUUUUUGUAGAAGUGGGUAUAGUCUGGAUGAUGAAGGUAUAUGAGAAAAUUAAUGUUUAAAAAAAAGUUCACAAAUCCCUCAGUGUGUACAGUUCUGCUAUUACUUACGAACAGCCCUUGAUCAAGUGUAGGCACUAAGUAUCCUGUAGUUUUCUUCUUCAUGGGAGUCUCCUGUUUUUCUAGCAGCACCAAAGUCAAGAAUUCAUAGCUUUUUGAGAUAUGAAGAAAUUAUUUUAUCUUAUUCCUUAGGUGAUAACGUCCUUUCUCUGAGCAAGUGUAAGCAGAAUUAUCAGUGAUCCUGAGCAUUUUUCUUUUCAGGUAGAAAAGAGUAGUUAAGAUGUGAGCAAGAAACUUAGAAAAUGUACAGUCUACUACAGGGUGUUUUAGGCGUAAGUAUGGAAAGAAAGAAAGAACGAAGUUCAUAAGAACCCAAGUAUCGCCUCCAGCCAGUGUCACUUUUUUUUCCCCUAACAGACCAGUAAUCUGAGGGACUUCAGAUCUCCAGAGUACAGCAAUUAGACGGGGUAAGAGCUUGCUGUUCACGGCGUUCCUCCUUCAGCUCUAGUGGUGUAAAGCUAGCUCCUGCUACAUGGAAAAAUUGCUCCAACACAUGCAAAAAAUAAAAAUUCAAGAAGCUUGGAUUUAUUUGAAGUAACACCAACAUAGAUCUGGGAUGAUGUCAUUAACAGCACUGCAGUCAAGCUGUCUAAAAGGCUAUCUAAAGUGUCUUUAAGUGGCUGAGCCAGAAAUACUGUUGGGGUCAUCAUGGUUUCUACCAGUAUUUCAGCAAGCAAAUGACCAAUGAACAUACAGGCAAAUUCCAAGUGAUGACAGACAGAUGAACAUGGGUAAAAUACACUCACUUCAGCUGAAAGAUGAAGCACCACAAAGCGAUACCUCUUUGGAGUGAGGAAAUUAAAGCUAGAGCGUCAGAAAGUAGCAUUCUUGAUAUUAUAGCCAUCUUAGGGUCCUACCAGCCCAAGUGUCCAACCAACACUACCUUCUUCAAAUGGCUUGAAGUCCCAAGAGGGAUGAAAGACAAAGGGAAUUCAAGGGAAGCAUCAGCUCUUUUAACAGCCAGGAAAGCUAGCAUUAAGGAUUGCUAAGUUGUAGUGAAGAUGAGAAUUGCACCUUCAUCUCUGUGUCCCUGGUCACCUCUUCAGCAGCAAAACUCCAGCCUUUUUUCUUAAACUAGAAUGGGCAUCAUUUAAAGACAAAAUGAGAAAAAUUGCUAAGUUAUGGACUGAAUAGCAGCAGUGUGAUUUUUCUAUGAAUCCGGGCACCUGCAAGGUAUCAAAGCCAAAGGCAUUAGUAUUUUUGGAAAAUGGGACCAAGGAUGUCAAGCAAGGAGCCAGCAGUCACAAACUGUUUAAUUCAUGCUGAUUUUCCCAGAACUGUAUCCAAGGAGAAUGUCACACUUUUCCGUUCUCAAGUACAACCUUACCUCUGAGUGCAUCAGCAAGUUUCACCUCUUCUCCUAUAACCCAAGCCAAGAAGAGCUAAGCAUAGGUUUUGUAAACACGUAAAUUAGGACUCACACCUUCUACUGAACAGGAGGAAAAAAGCCAAAACAGAAGGCAUUAUGUAAAGACCAACGGAUGGGCAUUCUCUAGGUACAAAAAUGUUCUUCAAAACUCAUCUUUAAUGUUGAAAUGUGGCUGAUCUUCAGGUUUAAAGUCUAGAUUGGGGCUGCCAUCCUCAUUCAGAAUUCGGCGAGAAGUAUAGCCAACAAUUGGAUAUUUGGCCUUAUAAACAUUAUUGAAGAUAUCAUCCAGAGACUUCAGUUCCUCUUCUGUGAGUCCUGUCUAAACGAAAUAUGGAAAUGAAAGUCCUGUCUCAAAGAAAUAAAAAUAUAGG